rnacentral:rRNA from 1 species
GACGAACGCUGGCGGCGUGCUUAACACAUGCAAGUCGAACGAAGUGGCGAACGGGUGAGUAACGCGUAAUCAACCUGCCCUUCAGAGGGGUACAACAGUUGGAAACGACUGCUAAUACAGCAUACUGAAGGAGGGGAUUGCGUCUGAUUAACUAGUGGGAGGGCUAACGGCCCACAAGGGCGAUGUUCAGUAAACGGGCUGAGAGGAUGAACUGCCACAUUGGGACUGAGACACGGCCCAGACUCCUACGGGAGGCAGCAGUGGGGAAUCUUCCGCAAUGGACGAAAGUCUGACGGAGCAAGGCCGCGUGAGUGAUGACGGCCUUCGGGUUGUAAAGCUCUGUUAAUCGGGACGCGGUACCGGAAUAGAAAGCCACGGCUAACUACGUGCCAGCAGCCGCGGUAAUC